UACAGAGGGUGCGAGCGUUAAUCGGAAUUACUGGGCGUAAAGCGCGCGUAGGCGGCUUUGCAAGUCGGGUGUGAAAUCCCCAGGCUUAACCUGGGAACUGCAUUCGAGACUGCAUUGCUAGAGUAUGGGAGAGGGAAGUGGAAUUUCAGGUGUAGCGGUGAAAUGCGUAGAUAUCGGAAGGAACACCGGUGGCGAAAGCGGCGCGCUGGAUCUCUUCUGACGCUGAGGCGCGAAAGCCAGGGGAGCGAACGGG
rnacentral:rRNA from 1 species